AUGAAACACGCAGAUGGGAAGCGUGGGACUGCGUGUCAGUGGAGCUCUGCCAUCAACGUGGAACAAAUGGAGCAAAUCUCCUCUUUGGUCCCCUUCCAGGCACUUGGGAUUUGUUUCCCCCUCUGCAAGCCAGGGCUCCUGGCAGUGCUGUUUUGUACCUGGCCUGUGCUGACUGCAGGUGAUGCUGCUUCUCGCUGUGAGCAUCGCUGUGGGGCUGGAGCUGCUCACAGGUCACAUUGUGACACGGCCACUGAUGGAGCCGCUGCUGUGCCAGCACUGUUGACCGUGGCCAAACCCAUUGUCACCUCUGUUUUUCCUGCCCUUCUUUUCACACCAAGCUGUGUCUUCUGCAACUGUCAGGAGUGGUGGCUCUUCUUGGAAGCGCUUGAAAAAUACACCGGUCCCAGUUUGGAAGAUGGGGAGAUUAAAGAAAUAAAAAUGGGUAGAGAAGGAUUGCUGACCUCCACACUCCUCAGGAGUGUGUCCUGCAAGGAUCAGCUGAUCGUUUCCUGGCUAGUGGAGGUCGUAGAGGCACCUUGUAUGCAGUACUCAAGUUCAUGAUCCCUCCUUCUGCUCUCAAAUAGUGAUUUCCUGCCCCCUGGAAUCUGUUCUGGAAGCAGGCAGCUGCCUCCACUGGCCACUGCUCCCAGAAAUAGGAUAUGCUGACUGUCAAGCUGAGCAUGGAUUUGUCACAGAAUAAAGUUCUGUGUGUCACAGGAGGCUGCA
rnacentral:lncRNA from 1 species